UGGGGAAUAUUGCACAAUGGGCGCAAGCCUGAUGCAGCCAUGCCGCGUGUGUGAAGAAGGCCUUCGGGUUGUAAAGCACUUUCAGCGAGGAGGAAGGGUUCAGUGUUAAUAGCACUGUUCAUUGACGUUACUCGCAGAAGAAGCACCGGCUAACUCCGUGCCAGCAGCCGCGGUAAUACGGAGGGUGCAAGCGUUAAUCGGAAUUACUGGGCGUAAAGCCGCACGCAGGCGGUUUGUUAAGUCAGAUGUGAAAUCCCCGCGCUUAACGUGGGAACUGCAUUUGAAACUGGC
rnacentral:rRNA from 1 species